AAGUAUAUAUACUGUAUCGAAUGUGUACAAGAUAUAACAGUCAAUUACGACCUAAAAUAGCUACAUUCAUGCUUAUCCAAAUCUAUAAUAUGCUAAUUAGAAGUAUAUUCAACCUUAUACAUGCUACCAUCAGUCCAUGUUGCUAGACAAUACCUUAAAACUUCCUUGUUUCUCUCCAGUUUCUUCUUGAUAUUAGGACAAAUUGGAUGACUGUAUUUGAGCAUC
rnacentral:lncRNA from 1 species